rnacentral:rRNA from 1 species
AUGCGUAGCUCUGGUGGGCCACGGCCCCAAUCUCGCUCAAGCACACAGCCACGCCAACUGGGCUUAUGUGAACACUUGAACAAGCUCAUCCGACAGUUUUUUUGGGGCAGCAAGGAAGGCGAACGCAAACCUAGCUGGGUGGCAUGGAAGGAUAUGACUCAAACGAAGCAUUGUGCUGGACAUGGUUUUAGAGAUUUGAAGUUGUUUAACUUAGCCUUACUAGCCAUGCAAGCCUGGAGGUUUCUAGUUACUACUGAUGCACUGAGCUUGUGGCUACUAAAGGCGAUUUACUUCCCCAACAUAUCCAUUCUUGACGCUAAGCUGUUCUCCCACCCGUCACAAAUAUGGAGAGCGAUUCUGGAGGCUAGGAAUGCACUCAAACAUGGAAUAAUCCGCAGAACUGGCAAUGGAGAAACUACUAGGGUUUGGGAUCAAAACUGGAUCCAAGGGAAUCAUCAAUGCGACCCCUGGUAA